CCUACGGGAGGCUGCAGUGGGGAAUAUUGGACAAUGGGGGGAACCCUGAUCCAGCCAUGCCGCGUGUGUGAAGAAGGCCCUCGGGUUGUAAAGCACUUUCAGUGAGGAAGAACGCCUGGUGGUUAAUACCCAUCAGGAAAGACAUCACUCACAGAAGAAGCACCGGCUAACUCCGUGCCAGCAGCCGCGGUAAUACGGAGGGUGCGAGCGUUAAUCGGAAUUACUGGGCGUAAAGCGCGCGUAGGUGGCUUGAUAAGCCGGUUGUGAAAGUCCCGGGCUCAACCUGGGAACGGCAUCCGGAACUGUCAAGCUAGAGUGCAGGAGAGGAAGGUAGAAUUCCCGGUGUAGCGGUGAAAUGCGUAGAGAUCGGGAGGAAUACCAGUGGCGAAGGCGGCCUUCUGGACUGACACUGACACUGAGGUGCGAAAGCGUGGGUAGCAAACAGGAUUAGAUACCCGAGUAGUC
rnacentral:rRNA from 1 species